AUGUGGACCUGUCUUCGUCAGCGCUAUGAGCCCUCUGGUGAUGCCUUAUACCUUUCUGUGGUUCGUCAGGAGCAUGCUCUUCAGCAGGGUGACUCUACUGUUGAUGACUUUUAUGCACAGAGUUCUGCUAUCUGGCGCCAGCUUGGUUCUCUCCGCGGUGCUGGUUGUCGUACUUGCCCCUGCUGCCAGGCUGUCCAGGCCGAUUUGGAGUUUCAUCGCGUCUACGAGUUCCUGUCUCGGCUCCGUAAGGAGUUUGAGCCCCGGCGUGCUCAGUUGCUUGCUCGUGGCCGUAUUUCUCUCAUGGAGGCGCUUUCAGAGAUUCGUGCUGAGGAGACUCGCCUACGUGGUGCUGGUUUGCUGGAGGUUCCCUCUGUGCUCGCUACUCGGGUUUCUUCCACUCCACCUGCUGCACCGCCCCAUUCUCGCUCGGGUGCUCCGCCGCUCUUGCCCACUCCUUCUGGAGGCUCAGGUCGGCCCCGUUCACAUUGUGACUACUGCAACAAUGAUGGUCAUAUUGAGUCCCAGUGCUACACAAAGCGGAAACACCUGCGCAAGGCGCGAUCAUCCUCCUCAGGGACUUCGUCAUCUCCCUCGCCAGCUUCAGCCAUUGGACUCGCUGGAUCUGGCAUGGGCGGAUCGCGGCGGCUAUUGGCGGCGAGGGCUUGGGGGCGACGGCAGGGCUCAGUCUCGCGGUUUCCCCUGGUGUGCGUGGGAGUCCGCUCGAGGCGCGCGGCGGCGGCCCUCGGCAAGCGGUGGCGGGCGCUGGGCUCUCGGCAGCGCUCCGGCGUGUGCAGGCGGCGGUGGUCCAUGUGCGCGGUCGGCGGCUCCGUCUCUGACCCGGACGGUGCGGGGGAUGGCGGCGGCCCGGCGUGGCCGGCGAUCUGGAUGCACCACCGCCGGCGGCUCGCUGAUCUGCCGAUGCUCCAGGGUUCUGCCUGGUGGUGCUGGUGGUGA
rnacentral:rRNA from 1 species